CGCACAUUGCGCCCUCUAGUAUUCUGGUGGGCAUGCCUGUUCGAGCGUCGUCAACACCCCUCAAGCCUAGCUUGGCGUUGGGACCCUAUGCUCCCGGUGUAGGCCCCUAAAACUAGUGGCAGGACCGCAGUGGACCUGGGCGUAGUAACACUACCCGCCUCGGGCUCCGCAGCGUGGGCUGCCGUAAAGCCGUCGCCUGGCGACACUUAUCAUUUUGACCUCGGAUCAGGUAGGAAUACCCGCUGAACUUAA
rnacentral:misc_RNA from 1 species